UACGGGGGGGGCAAGCGUUGUUCGGAAUUACUGGGCGUAAAGGGCUCGUAGGCGGCCAACUAAGUCAGACGUGAAAUCCCUCGGCUUAACCGGGGAACUGCGUCUGAUACUGGAUGGCUUGAGUUCGGGAGAGGGAUGUGGAAUUCCAGGUGUAGCGGUGAAAUGCGUAGAUAUCUGGAGGAACACCGGUGGCGAAGGCGGCAUCCUGGACCGGCAUUGACGCUGAACAGCGAAAGCCAGGGGAGCAAACGGG
rnacentral:rRNA from 1 species